CCGCGUGAGGGAUGACGGCCUUCGGGUUGUAAACCUCUUUCAGUAGGGAAGAAGCGAAAGUGACGGUACCUGCAGAAGAAGCACCGGCUAACUACGUGCCAGCAGCCGCGGUAAUACGUAGGGUGCGAGCGUUAUCCGGAAUUAUUGGGCGUAAAGAGCUCGUAGGCGGUUUGUCGCGUCUGUCGUGAAAGUCCGGGGCUUAACCCCGGAUCUGCGGUGGGUACGGGCAGACUAGAGUGCAGUAGGGGAGACUGGAAUUCCUGGUGUAGCGGUGGAAUGCGCAGAUAUCAGGAGGAACACCGAUGGCGAAGGCAGGUCUCUGGGCUGUAACUGACGCUGAGGAGCGAAAGCAUGGGGAGCGAACAGGAUUAGAUACCCUGGUAGUCCAUGCCGUAAACGUUGGGCACUAGGUGUGGGGACCAUUCCACGGUUUCCGCGCCGCAGCUAACGCAUUAAGUGCCCCGCCUGGGGAGUACGGCCGCAAGGCUAAAACUCAAAGGAAUUGACGGGGGCCCGCACAAGCGGCGGAGCAUGCGGAUUAAUUCGAUGCAACGCGAAGAACCUUACCAAGGCUUGACAUGUUCUCGAUCGCCGUAGAGAUACGGUUUCCCCUUUGGGGCGGGUUCACAGGUGGUGCAUGGUUGUCGUCAGCUCGUGUCGUGAGAUGUUGGGUUAAGUCCCGCAACGAGCGCAACCCUCGUUCCAUGUUGCCAGCACGUMRUGGUGGGGACUCAUGGRAGACUGCCGGGGUCAACUCGGAGGAAGGUGAGGACGACGUCAAAUCAUCAUGCCCCUUAUGUCUUGGGCUUCACGCAUGCUACAAUGGCCGGUACAAUGGGUUGCGAUACUGUGAGGUGGAGCUAAUCCCAAAAAGCCGGUCUCAGUUCGGAUUGGGGUCUGCAACUCGACCCCAUGAAGUCGGAGUCGCUAGUAAUCGCAGAUCAGCAACGCUGCGGUGAAUACGUUCCCGGGCCUUGUACACACCGCCCGUCAAGUCACGAAAGUUGGUAACACCCGAAGCCGGUGGCCUAACCCUUG
rnacentral:rRNA from 1 species